GGAAAGGUGGCCGAGUGGUUUAAGGCAGUGCUCUUGAAAAGCACCGAGGGGCAACUCUCCGUGGGUUCGAAUCCCACCCUUUCCG
rnacentral:tRNA from 1 species